CCGACCGAGCGAGGCUCGCGUUUCUUAACAAGACCAAGCUUGUACAAUCACAUGACAGUCAACAACGUGAUUCCUGCUGAAAUCAAUUAGCUAAGUGAAUUUACAAAGUCUGCAGUCACUAGAAUGAGGGGACUACGGAGAAUCCAAUAAUGUCUGUUUGGAGGAGCAGGCUUGUUUUUUGGCCCCUGACAACGCAAUUACAGCCCCGCCGAUUGUCGUGUGUGUGCAUUAAGUACCUCCCCCAGAACGAGGCCGAUUAAUGAAGGGGCUCCUCGGGGCCGAAGAAGAAGCCCCAGGCACCCACACACAGAGGAGAGGAACUGUUGUUGGGGGUCAGGCCGCUACACAUGCUCCAUAUUAAUGCAGCGUGGAGUGGGCGCCUGUCCAGUGCUGUGCUGCUGGGUGGAAUAUGGGUUUGGAAUGACAUUAGGGGUCCCUCUUCAAGAUCCAGUCCGAGUCCCAUUCAAGCCCAGGCUCGAGAAAAAAGAUGCCCGGUUUGUGAAUAUGUCCUCCUACCAAGACAGAAAACUGCAUCACACUGAACCACAGUCUAAGCUGGUACCACACCGAAACACCUAGCAGUCCUGCCAAAGUAAAGUUUGAGUGCUGUGCGUAGUUAUGAUGUAGACUGUGUGCUCAUCGGCUUGGCGGGGGCAGACAUC